GUGCCAGCAGCCGCGGUAAUACGGAGGGUGCGAGCGUUAAUCGGAAUUACUGGGCGUAAAGACGCAUGCAGGCGGCCUGUUAAGUCAGAUGUGAAAGACCCGGGGCGUUAACCUCGGAAAUUGCAUUUGUAAACUAGGCAGGCUAGAGUCUUGUAGAGGGGGGUAGGAAUUUCAGGUGUAGCGGUGAAAUGCGUAGAGAUCUGAAGGAAUACCAGUGGCGAAGGCGGCCCCCUCGGACAAAGACUGACGCUCAGAUGCGAAAGCGUGGGGAGCAAACAGGAUUAGAUACCCCUCGGUAG
rnacentral:rRNA from 1 species